rnacentral:lncRNA from 1 species
AAGAGAGAGCACGUCCAGAACACGCCAGAGACUGUCUCUUCCUGGUUUGCAAACUCAUACCACUAGUCAAAAGGCUGUGGCAGGAGGCCAGGCAGAUCACAGCGUCCAUGCCUAGAUGCUCCCUGACCCCCAGGAACCAGAAGUGCUGUCUCCUGAAGGCUCUGGAAACCCGGAAUCAGCCUACGAGGCACCAGGGCCACCUUGGAGGGUGGAAAUGAGGACCUCAGGCCCCAGAGGGCAUGCAGGCGAGGUGAAGUUCAGGAGAGCCAGGAAGUGUCCCCCUCUUCCCGGCCUGCUGUAUCCCAGGACACAGGGCGUAAGUGUGGAGGAGGAAGGGCUGCAGGGUGAGGCAGCCCACACUUUGGCUCAGGACAGGGAUGGGACCGGGACAUAUGGGAAAAUAGUCUGGGGGUCCUGGGUAAUGGCAGGAGCAUGAGCUCAGGGUCGGGUGGCUGUCCUGGAUGACCUGUGGGACUCUCUUCCUCUCCAAGCCACGCUUUCCUCAACUGUCCCUUCCUUGUGGGAUGCAAGAGGCCACGGCGAGCGAAGGCAUGUGCCAAGAGCUGCCACUCAAUGUGAGUCAGCGUGCUGGUCCUCCCUCCUUUUCUCCAGGGGGCCUAGGACUUUUGGGGGGAGCCUGAGGACAUGCUUCGCUGAUGUCACUGUGUGGAGUGUACAAAUGGCCACCCUGCUGCUCGUUGGUUCUAUAUGGGCAUCCAGGCUGGAGAGCAGGGGGUGGGGAGAUGGAGAUGCCACCAGCAGGGGACUGGUUCCUAGAAGAGAGGGCGAGUUUGGGUGGUCCCAGAGGUGUUCUUCCCAGAAAAGAGAGCAGGAGGCAGGAGGUGGGCAUGGAGAAUGUGGAGGGGGGCAUUGACAGUGUUCUCCACCACCCAUCAGAUAAGACCUGGAGCCUCAUUACCAAAGACUUAAUGAGAUUCGCUUUGUUUUCUUAUGAGCCAGGCAAGGUGCCAGGGGAAGCGGCUUCCAGCCCCAGGCUCUGCAGCUGGCUGCUGUGUGACCCAGAGCCAGGCACCACACCUCUCUGGGCCUUAGACUCCUUAUCCAUGAGCUUCCUGCCUGCACCCUAACAUUCAGUGUCAUUGGCCGAGUUACCCAAUGGCUCCCAGCCUCAGUUUCUUCAUCUGCACAUUAGGGAUAAGUACAGCCAUCCACCUGGGAGGUGUCAAGGGGGUGUGGCCGCAGCACCCAGCCCAUGCACAAGUUCAGUGAUCAUUACCUGUCUCCCCCAGCCCUGCCUGAGUGCCAGGAUCAGCAGGCUUGGGAAGGGGGAGCCCCCAGGGAUGUGGAAAGUGGAGAGGGAGCACAUGGGCUCUGGGGCCUCGGGGCUCCUGGGCUCUGUUCUGCCUGUCUGGGAGCUGUCUCCUGCUCUCCCUUGCAGUGUCUCUGUCUCUCUUCGUUCUGUUCCUCCCUCUGUCCUUCAGUUUUUCCCUCUCCAUCUCAGUCUCUGGUUGUCUCAGUCUCUCUUUGCACCUCACUGUCUCUGCCUUUCUCUGCAUCUCUCUUCCUUUCCUGGGCUCUCUCUCUCUCUUUCAUCCCUGUUUUGGGCUUUCUCUGUCUGUGUCUCUCUGUUUUUCAGUCUGCUUCUUUCUGUCUCCGUUCAUUUCUCUGUAUGUCUUUGUCCCCUGCACUCCCAUUCUCCUCCCAUGCUGUCCUCUCUGGGGGCUCCUCUGGCUUCACUGGGCCACAGGCCCAGGCUGGGGUGUGAAGAAGCAGGAGCUCCCCCGUCAGAUGACGCUAGGUGCCCCAGUCAGGGCAGUGGGGGCCAGACAAAGAGCUCUGCGAGGGGUGGCAAAAUCCUCUUCCCAGGGAAGGGAAUGUGGGGGCUACUGGCCAGCUGUGGGAUGGGUGGCUGAGAACUCUCAUACCACUGUAAAUUCUAGAUGUUUUUCACUUAUAUCAGCUUCCUGAUCCCCCUGAGCCAAAGGCCUAGAAGGUCCCUGUCCCUGUCCUUUUGGAAUGUGCAGUCUUACUUACCAGAGUGACAAGGGGAACAGAGUUGAAACAGGAGGCAGAUCAUGAGGGAUCAGGAUGGGGACUAAUAUGUGCUGAGUGCCUGGUGGUGCUUUAUAAGUAUCAGCAGAUUGGGAGAUAAGCAUAGCCACCCUGUGGAGACACCUGGGAGGUGUCAAGGGGCAUGCAUUGUAAAGGCCCAGAGUGGUGAAGCAUCCACCAGCUGGUAAGUGGUAGCCUCGGGUGGGGCCUGUCGCUGUCCCCAUGCUCUGUCCACUACUGGUGUGGCUUGCCCCACUUGUGACCAUCGUUUCUUCCCCUCCACCCCCAGUGCCACUUCCUCUCUCCCUCGUUGUAGGGGAAAGAACAUGGGCUGUGUGGCCUUGGACCAAUUGCUUGCCCUCUCUGGGCCUUCUUAUUGGUGACAGACAGACUGGUGACUUUCUGAGAGGAUCUAUGCAACCUCAGGCUCCUGCACCUGGGUUACAGGGUCUUCUGGAGGGGAAGAGAUGAGCAGGUAGGCUUUGACACCUGCCUGCUUUGUCCUGAGUGUCUACUAUGUCAUCUGCUUUAAAUGCGAAGUCCCUGGGACUUGCGAGUUAUCUCUAAGCCUUCUCUUUUCCUGACUUUCUGGGAGUGUGUGUACCCCCAUUCCCUCACCCCAGCCAUCAGGGCCCUUUCUGAGUUGGGCCUCCUUCCUAGCUCUGGGCUAGGCCCCAACCCUGGCCCUUUCCAAGGCCAGCAGGAACUGGAAGGUCCGUACUCAUGCCCUGGGAGGCUCCAGGCUCUAAGGGGUGCUGGAGUGAUGGAGUUGGGCGGCUGGUGCUCAGAGGACCUUAAUGGUGUGGGGACAGCUGGAAACUGGUUGUCUCUUGAACCCUCUUGCCACCAGGCCUCUGUCCAGGAGGGCUGCUGGGGGCCAAUGGGCCAGACACCAGACAGUCACACCUUUGGCAGGGCUGAAGUCGGGGGGUGUGUGACACAAUGGGAGGGGCUGGGCCUGGCAGUCCCUGCAGCCUAUAAGCACCAGCAACCCAUGAGGGGACACAGGCACCCUCUGGCCUCAUCCUUCUUGGAGCCAGUGGGAUGUAGCAACUAAAAUACAAGCUCUGAAGUUUCAUGGACUGGAGUUGCAUCUCUGCUUCCAUCCUAAUUAGCAAGAGACCUUGGUCACGUUGCUUAAACUCUGACACUAGAUUUUCCCCCUCUGCAAAGCAAGGACAAUAGCAGUGCUCCCUUCCCGGGUCAGUUGCAAGGAUUAAGGAUGAUGUCUGCAAAGUGCUUAGUCAGAGCCGGCAUACGGUAAGUGCUCAAUAAAUGCUGGCUCCCAUUAUUAGUAUCCCUUCCCUCCACGCCCUCAACACAUCCCUUUAUCAUGAUGGAAUAACCAAUUGCCUGGUAACAACAUGUUCACACUUCCACGCUCCCCAUCAACCAUGCUCACCUAUAAGGCAGGCUGCGACCAGCUCCUCUUCAUCUAUUCAUUGCCUGGCCCAUGCUAGGGGCCCAAGAAAUGUCUGCUGCAUCAACGAGUGAUUUUGGGAAAGGUGCUGAGCCCUUCUGUCCCAUGAAGUUCUUGCGAGACAGUGUCUCACCAGCAACCUGGAUCGUGAGAACCACAGCGGGUGGGCCAGAUCUAGAUGGAGAGUGUCCAUUGGGCAGAGCUGCUUCUGUGAAAGGAAAGGAAGUUUUUCAAGAAACCAUGAGGGGGGCCCAAGAAUCCAAGUUUCUAACUCUGGGAUCGGUUUUCUGUCUUUUACCUCGGUUUGCCUCUCCCUAGCUGUGUGGUUUAUGGCAAGUCACUCUGUGCCUCUGUCUCCACGUGUUCAAGGAGGCAGCCGGUCCAAGGGGCCUUCAUAGAAGGGGCUGCCGAGAUGUGAGCCCUGCAUUGGGGGGAUGCCCCACAGAGGUGCUGUCCCCCAUCCCCUUUCCAGGUAUGAGUGUCCCCCAGCUCUGAGUGAAUCAGUAGGAGGUGCUGGACCUGGGCUGAUUCUCACAGUGGGACCUCAACUCUAGCCCCGGGUUGGCUGACAUUAGAGGACUUUGGGUCGUUGUUCUGGCAGCUGCAAGGAAGAGCCAAUGUCAGGGAGGGAAACCCCACAUUCCCUGGCACUAUCCAAACAAAGGUUUGGUUAAAACAAAGAAUUCUCAUGGAGAAGAGUCUGAAGGACCCAAAACACAUAUUUCUGUAGACAUCCCAUCCCAAAAUAAACCCAUGGAUCAAGCCAGACCCAAAUACAAGGAUGCUGUGAACCACAUGGUUGAAUAUUCCACACUUUCCCCAUCCAUUAAACCCCACCCAGGGUGGGAAGGGGAUGGAUUUCCCUCAGUUCUCAGGGCCUAGAAGAGCAGGGCUUUUUUCCCUCAACUGGUUGAGUUUUACUUUGUGAGCACCAUGAUUCCUAAAACCAGUUAUAUUUUCUUUUUCUCUUGGGCCGCCAGGGAACUCACAGCGAAAUCUACCAACCAAAGAGGAUGUCCAUACCUGUCUUUUUCUUUCUUCCUUCAUUUUUUGACUUAAUUUCCUCACUUGAAAAAAAAAAAUAAAACACCUUAUUCAGGGUAUACUUUAUGGGCAGUCUUAAUUUUUUUUAUUAGGAUGUGGGAUGUA